AGAAAUAAUAUGGCCAAGGAAUGCUACUGACCUUAUCCAGAACUCGCACUUACUAAAUUUAGUGAAUAGAUGGUGAUCUCUGAGAGUCUGACGAAUAAUUCUGAGAUGGUUUGAAUGUCACGCUCUAUGCAGGAAUAUACCAGGAUAUCAUCUAUGAAGACUAUGACGAACAUGUCCAAGUACUACUUGAUCACACGGUUCAUCAAGU
rnacentral:lncRNA from 1 species